CAGGCGUUUAACAUCCGAUCUUAGAAAAAAUAGUUAACAUUCCUUAGUACUCUGGAAGUGGGGAUAACCAUAACCAAGGGAAGAUAUCAUGCAGCUGUUUCCGAUUAGGAAGGAUGAGCAGCUAGGGAGGCUGCAGAAAUAUGUAAUGGAAAGAAAAAGAGACAUACUAUCCUCAGACACCUCACAAUAAGACACUCUGCGGACCCCCUGAAUGAAGCUCAAGGACCACAGUUUGGGAACUCCUGUGCUAAGAGACACACACUUGGAAGGGA